UACGUAGGUGGCAAGCGUUGUCCGGAUUUAUUGGGCGUAAAGGGCGUGCAGGCGGUCUGUUAAGUGCAGGGUGAAAGCUCCCGGCUCAACUGGGAGAGGUCCUUGCAUACUGGCGGACUUGAGGGGGGUAGAGGAAAGUGGAAUUCCCGGUGUAGUGGUGAUAUGCGUAGAUAUCGGGAGGAACACCUGUGGCGAAGGCGGCUUUCUGGGCCGUACCUGACGCUGAGACGCGAAAGCGUGGGGAGCGAACCGA
rnacentral:rRNA from 1 species